CCUCCGUGUUUCCGCCGUUUUUACUAUUUCCCCCUUUUUUUCCCCCUUAUUCAGCGACGCCUCGUGGGUGAGGAAGUACUUCGGUAUGUAAAGCCCUAUCAGCAGGGAAGAAAAUGACGGUACCUGACUAAGAAGCCCCGGCUAACUACGUGCCAGCGGCCGCGGUAAUACGUAGGGGGCAAGCGUUAUCCGGAUUUACUGGGUGUAAAGGGAGCGUAGACGGCGUGCCAAGUCUGAUGUGAAAGGCCGGGGCUCAACCCCGGGACUGCAUUGGAAACUGGCAUGCUGGAGUGCCGGAGGGGCAAGCGGAAUUCCUAGUGUAGCGGUGAAAUGCGUAGAUAUUAGGAGGAACACCGGUGGCGAAGGCGGCUUGCUGGACGGUAACUGACGUUGAGGCUCGAAAGCGUGGGGAGCAAACAGGAUUAGAUACCCCUGUAGUC
rnacentral:rRNA from 1 species